UCAUUUCCCUGGAGUGGAAAUAAAUAUAGAACUUAUAAAGUGUAUACUGCAUCAAGUCACCUGCCACGGUUCGAUAACAUCGACGAAACCUUCUGUAAGUUCCACGAGAGAACUUGAUUACCUAUAGCUUGUACUGGCAUGGUAAGAAGUUUGUCUUAUAUUUGCAUCAUUAGUUUUUUUUUGUAACUUCUGUCACUUAAUAAAUCUCGGAAUUCAAAUAUUGCCUAUUAUAUAUUUCCAGCAGAAUUCGGUGAAACGUGUCUCUAGUAUUUCUUGGCAGGAGAUGAUCUGACGGAUGCUUGCGUUCUGGAGGAGGACGGGACGAGAAUACAAGAUACAGGCACGUAAGUACCCAGGUGAAAAUAGGAUUUCCACUUGAUGAUAAGAAUACAAGGCGGACGGACGACAAGUUAACAUCCAAAACAUUUCUGCAGUUUUUCACAUCUUCUAGGUACAAACGCUGGCAUGCCACAUACACACGCAUCACAAUAUCAGCACCCGGCCGGCAUAUUCGUAUCAUCUUCACCAUUUCCAGAAGACGUUGGAUCCGCACUUGUACUUCUCCUUGCCCUCGCACUCGAUCUCCAGGUCGUCACUGAUGAACGGCACUUUCUGUAAACCACACAUAAAGAACAUGAUCAGAGAUCAGAAUCCAUCCGGGCCGGGAUUCCAAGCAAAACUGCACAUUAUAUGCUUACAGUUCCAGGUUAAUUAAUCGUGUGAUCAGAUUAGAAUUUACCUUCUGCUUGGCAAGGUCCUGGCAGCCGGUGAAGUUGUAGGGGAACUUGCAGCUGCCGAACUGCACGGUGUAUGCCCGGGCGAAGUUGGCGCCGCUGGUUGCCGCCCUCUUCUUGUCGUUCAGCUCCUGAUCAUCAUAAAUCACACGCAGAAAACACCCAAAAUGAUCACCAAUUCACUUCACUCCAACACCUUCAAUUCCCAGAAAAAACACACAGGUAUAUGCGUACCUUGUUGAGCUUGCUCUUCUCGAGGUACUCGUCGAAGACGCUGGCCCUGGCGGACCCGGAGGCGCCGGCAGUAACGGCGAUAACGGCCGCCAGGCCGAGGAGCGCCGACCGCCGGUCCUUGACCUGCACGCGCUUCGCCGAGAAGGCGGCGGCGGUUUGCGGCACCG
rnacentral:lncRNA from 1 species